rnacentral:tRNA from 2 species
GGGGCCUUAGCUCAGCUGGGAGAGCGCCUGCCUUGCACGCAGGAGGUCAGGGGUUCGAUCCCCCUAGGCUCCA